UCUGCCAAGUAUCGUACCGGGUGACAUGUUAACGUUAGUUGCCCAACUCCUGCUUCAAACACUCUUCUUAACGACCAAGUUACAAUGUCAACAUGACACCAGUUAAAGCCAAAGUUUAUAUCCGAAAACCGUGUUAUAUACUUUGAUAUGAACUUUUGUUUCUCCUCGUCGCCGUGUUGAACUCACGGAGCGGCUUCAGUGAGGCAAGUGUAGGCAAAAGGAUGCUACUGGUUUAGCAAAAGAACGUUAGCUUUAACGUUAGCUGUUAGCACCCGGCGACAGAAAUUCGCGAAAUAACACAGCACUGAACGUACGUUGAUUGAAGAGACUCUCUCCUCCGCUUCACUCCGAGCAACUCGAGAAGUGACGUCAGCUCAAGGCUUCUACAAUGCAAACUUUUGUUCGCAAAACCUGCAACCAGCAAAGUGCACAAACUAUCUGCGAGUACACUAUAUACAUCUGUAAGAUUCUGCAGUCAAAGGAGCUACUGACUGGACUGAGUGAAACACACGCCUGGCAGGAUGAACACACAAGUCCACAGAAUACGCAGUAUACCCCUGAGGCACAGGAGUUGGACUCACUGUCAUUGAUUUUUUCUUAUUUUGUCCUGACAUAUUUAAGUAAUACAGAUUUUAAUCAUGUCAGCACACAAUGCUCUGAUCCCUUUAACACCAAAGCCUCCAAGCACUGCACAUGCGUUUGAUUUAGAAAAUGGCACAGUGUCUGAGCUAAAAAACUGUUUGUGUGUGUUGAAUAUGCAGUUUACACUCUACGCUCUGAUACAGUGUUUUCAACAACUCUGAGCUAACCAUUCCCAAAAAGCUGCCACACAAUGUGAGUUAUAUUCACUUUACACAUCCAAAUUGUAAUGUAAUUCAAAUUACUGUAGCCCAGUAGGUGGUAAAGAAAUGCAGUAUGGCACGUCCUGACGUAAAAUAGAGUUAGUAUAAUACUGUUUAUCUCGCAUGGCCGGCCAGAGAGCAGUCCUCUAAAUAGUGGCCUCUGUUAAUUGGAGCAUGUUCUUGCAUGCCCUUCUGUGUACAGACACCUUUUCCAAGAAAGACCAUAACAUAAAUAGAGGAUGAGCUGAAUAGGAAUAACUCACAUCUAGUAGAAUCCUGAGAAAAAGAGACUUGAAACCGGAAAGGCAGUAAAGAGUUCUGACAUUGUGAAGUCCACGUGCAAGCCAAGGGUUGCUUUUUUCUGUUGUGUAUUGUUUUCUUGACACAUAACUUGGUAAUUCACAGGAUUGUGAUCCAGCGUGGCUCUCAUUUUCAUUCCAUCUGUCACGCUACUGCAUGUCAUCUCUUAUUCAUGCAUACCAAUGUCCGUUUUAAUUAGUCAUUCUGGGUCAGUGUAGACCUCUUCCUGCUUCAAGCAGCGGUGUGGCAGAUGUGUGAAUGAAAUUCAUCUGCUAUUAUUUGAGCGAAAAAAGGCCUUUACAGCCAUUGUGAUGAGGCAACAGCCACUCUACAAUAAUAAAAUACAUACAUCCCAGUUAAACAGAAAAGAUGAUUUUAGGGAUGCAACAGCAUCAAUCACUUAAGCUGAAAUCUGUUUGUAAAAAAAAUAAAUGGUUAUGCCUCAAAAGGUUCAUCAUAAAUUUAAUUCAACCCAAUUAUUUCCACAAAAUCUAAUGAGGCUUCAGUAAAUUAGUGUUACAAUUAAUUAUCAUAAUUAGAAUGAUCAUAAUUAUUCCUUUUGCAUGUCAAUACACGUUUUCCUCUGUUGUAACUGGUGACACACAGCAGCUAAACACUUCUGUAGCAUUACAACAGAUUACUAAUGUGUGUAGGCUCAGCAGACUUUUUACAGUCUGAUAAUCAGUGAAUUGCCGUUUUGUUUUCACGUCAUUAUUCCGUCUUAACUAAUUCAAUUUGAAUCGCUAAAACAUUUUUUCAGAUGAGGGCCAUUAAGUCCUGGAACCAGACCAGAAAUGAACAUCUACGAUCACACUCUUAGUUUUCUAAAUGUAUCAUGCAGAGUUGCAUUCAAACAGAAGCUUACUCACAGUAAUUGUUUUUGCUAUUUUAUCAAGACUAAAUUAUACUUGUUGAAUAUGUUGCAUAUUCAUGAGCCUGAAUAAGUCUUUGCUCUUCGAAAUAUAAAAUCAAUAUCUGCUGAAAUCUAACCAUGUAGGUCAUUUUUAAAGGCCCAAUUUGUACAUUUGAGGGGCUGUACAUAGGUAAAGUAAAUCAUGAAAAUCAGAAUUUUGUGUUUUCCUCAUACACCAUUUUUGACAAUAUAGGCCUCAGUAUAGACAAUAUGGGGCAUUUUAACUAUAACAGUUAAAAGCCCACACAGAGCCCCUACCCCACAGUGCAGCCCUGGCCUUCUCCGGCCCCACUCUGGUCUUUGGACCUUUAUCUCACAUAGCAUGUUAAUAGUUGUCUUCCACAGCGAGCCUAAAUGACUUACUUAAUCAAUAAGAGGACUUUCACCUCAGCUUGGAGACAAGAUAAGCAUUCUGCAAUUUUACAUCUACUCUAUUUAUUUUGUGUUCAUGUUUAAAGAUAUGAGUUACCUCUAGACUUCCUCGAAAAUGUAACAGUGUAACAGCAAAGUGCAACAGGGUAAUUUUUUCAAAUCAGUGUUUUUUCUGAUUGUUGUCCAAUAACAACACUGUCAAACUGAUAAUCUUCCAUGUUCCCUCCUGCAAUGUCAGAGAACAGACUUGACAGAAAUGUGAUUCACUGUCCCACCUUGUGGCCAUAUCUAGAAAUAACCUGGAAUGCUCCGAGGAAAGCGUUAUUGUUAUUGUCCUAUUAGUGUGCUACAUCAAUAAAUGUUAGUCCACAAGUGCCUUUGACUAUUCAUAACUAGAUGUGAAAAUCAUCAAGAAAGACACAACUCAACAAAAAAGAGGCAUAUGAAGCCAAUAUUUAAAGAGAAUUUGUUAGAUGGCAGACUUCUUGGAAGUCUAAAUUUAGAUGUGUAUGAAUGGGAAGGGGGGGGGGGGGUGAGAUUUCCUGCUGCCUUUGCUCAGUUCUGUUUCAUCUUGGCCCACACUGAGAUGUCAACAGAGCCACUGGACAUUUGGAGAGAGUGACAUUUUUCAGAUGACAAUGAUUUAGAUGUCCUCUCUGAAACCCCAAUUUAAGUGUCCUAAUUCAUCCUUUUCUCCUCAAUUAUGCAUCGACAUAUAUAUAUAUAUAGCAGAAAUGUUCUAUUUAGAGAGAAAUAAUACUUUUUACUUUCUGACACCGCUGGACAACCCAUGGCUGGAAGUUGACAUAUUACUGUUGGCAGACUACUAGAAAUGUGUCCUGUU